rnacentral:rRNA from 1 species
CUGGCUCAGGAUGAACGCUGGCGGCGUGCUUAACACAUGCAAGUCGAGCGGGCAAUUUAUCUAGCACUGAUUACUUCAAAUGGCUAUCGCCAG